CCUACGGGAGGCAGCAGUGAGGAAUAUUGGUCAAUGGACGCAAGUCUGAACCAGCCAUGCCGCGUGCAGGAUGACGGCUCUAUGAGUUGUAAACUGCUUUUGUACGAGGGUAAACGCAGAUACGUGUAUCUGUCUGAAAGUAUCGUACGAAUAAGGAUCGGCUAACUCCGUGCCAGCAGCCGCGGUAAUACGGAGGAUUCAAGCGUUAUCCGGAUUUAUUGGGUUUAAAGGGUGCGUAGGCGGUUUGAUAAGUUAGAGGUGAAAUUUCGGGGCUCAACCCUGAACGUGCCUCUAAUACUGUUGAGCUAGAGAGUAGUUGCGGUAGGCGGAAUGUAUGGUGUAGCGGUGAAAUGCUUAGAGAUCAUACAGAACACCGAUUGCGAAGGCAGCUUACCAAACUAUAUCUGACGUUGAGGCACGAAAGCGUGGGGAGCAAACAGGAUUAGAUACCCUGGUAGUCCACGCAGUAAACGAUGAUAACUCGUUGUCGGCGAUACACAGUCGGUGACUAAGCGAAAGCGAUAAGUUAUCCACCUGGGGAGUACGUUCGCAAGAAUGAAACUCAAAGGAAUUGACGGGGGCCCGCACAAGCGGAGGAACAUGUGGUUUAAUUCGAUGAUACGCGAGGAACCUUACCCGGGCUUGAAAGUUAGCGACGAUUCUUGAAAGAGGAUUUCCCUUCGGGGCGCGAAACUAGGUGCUGCAUGGUUGUCGUCAGCUCGUGCCGUGAGGUGUCGGGUUAAGUCCCAUAACGAGCGCAACCCCUACCGUUAGUUGCCAUCAGGUCAAGCUGGGCACUCUGGCGGGACUGCCGGUGUAAGCC
rnacentral:rRNA from 1 species